rnacentral:rRNA from 1 species
AUUGAACGCUGGCGGCAGGCCUAACACAUGCAAGUCGGACGGUAGCACAGAGAGCUUGCUCUCGGGUGACGAGUGGCGGACGGGUGAGUAAUGUCUGGGGAUCUGCCCGAUAGAGGGGGAUAACCACUGGAAACGGUGGCUAAUACCGCAUAACGUCGCAAGACCAAAGAGGGGGACCUUCGGGCCUCUCACUAUCGGAUGAACCCAGAUGGGAUUAGCUAGUAGGCGGGGUAACGGCCCACCUAGGCGACGAUCCCUAGCUGGUCUGAGAGGAUGACCAGCCACGCUGGAACUGAGACACGGUCCAGACUCCUACGGGAGGCAGCAGUGGGGAAUAUUGCACAAUGGGCGCAAGCCUGAUGCAGCCAUGCCGCGUGUAUGAAGAAGGCCUUCGGGUUGUAAAGUACUUUCAGCGGGGAGGAAGGCGAUGUGAUUAAUAACCGCGUCGAUUGACGUUACCCGCAGAAGAAGCACCGGCUAACUCCGUGCCAGCAGCCGCCGCGG